GAGUAACACGUAAACAACCUGCCUUCAGGAUGGGGACAACAGACGGAAACGACUGCUAAUACCGAAUAAGUUCCAAGAGCCGCAUGGCCCAUGGAAGAAAAGGUGGCCUCUACCUGUAAGCUAUCGCCUGAAGAGGGGUUUGCGUCUGAUUAGCUGGUUGGAGGGGUAACGGCCCACCAAGGCGACGAUCAGUAGCCGGUCUGAGAGGAUGAACGGCCACACUGGAACUGAGACACGGUCCAGACUCCUACGGGAGGCAGCAGUGGGGAAUCUUCCGCAAUGGGCGAAAGCCUGACGGAGCAACGCCGCGUGAGUGAUGACGGCCUUCGGGUUGUAAAACUCUGUGAUCCGGGACGAAAAGGCAGAGUGCGAAGAACAAACUGCAUUGACGGUACCGGAAAAGCAAGCCACGGCUAACUACGUGCCAGCAGCCGCGGUAAUACGUAGGUGGCAAGCGUUGUCCGGAAUUAUUGGGCGUAAAGCGCGCGCAGGCGGCUUCCCAAGUCCCUCUUAAAAGUGCGGGGCUUAACCCCGUGAUGGGAAGGAAACUGGGAAGCUGGAGUAUCGGAGAGGAAAGUGGAAUUCCUAGUGUAGCGGUGAAAUGCGUAGAGAUUAGGAAGAACACCGGUGGCGAAGGCGACUUUCUGGACGAAAACUGACGCUGAGGCGCGAAAGCGUGGGGAGCAAACAGGAUUAGAUACCCUGGUAGUCCACGCCGUAAACGAUGGAUACUAGGUGUAGGAGGUAUCGACCCCUCCUGUGCCGGAG
rnacentral:rRNA from 1 species